rnacentral:lncRNA from 1 species
CAGGAUUUAGGAAUCUAUUUGAAAUAUUCAUUACCUAUUUUGAAUUGGUCUUAAAAAUUUAAAGAAAUAUAAAGCUGGAUAAUUAAAGAUAAAUAAUAAAGGAAGAAUACAAGGUUUCUAUGCUGUGAAGCAACUGAGAUUAUUAUGAUUUUGGGGCAGUGAAUUUGUUUCUAGAAGUUUUGUUGGAACUAAGGCAGAAAGGAAGAAGAACAAAUGACCUUGGAAUGAAAAACUUUAAGUUACUCCACCUAACCACUAUGAAUGAUAGUCUUGUCUCACCAACCCCAGCCCAUCAUCUGUUGGACUUGGAGCUCACACUUUAAAAAAGAAGAUCAUUCUAACUGCCCCUCAUGACUACUGAAGAGGCUAUGCCUGAAAAAGCAAAAUGUCCUACAUUAGAGAUCACCAAGCAAGACUUUUUUCAAGAAGCAAAAACUCUCAUUGCCCAACAUUAUGAGAAAAUAAAUGAGGU